rnacentral:rRNA from 1 species
GAUGAACGCUGGCGGCGCGCCUAAUACAUGCAAGUCGAGCGAACAGACGAGGAGCUUGCUCCUCUGACGUUAGCGGCGGACGGGUGAGUAACACGUGGAUAACCUACCUAUAAGACUGGGAUAACUUCGGGAAACCGGAGCUAAUACCGGAUAAUAUAUUGAACCGCAUGGUUCAAUAGUGAAAGGCGGUUUUGCUGUCACUUAUAGAUGGAUCCGCGCCGCAUUAGCUAGUUGGUAAGGUAACGGCUUACCAAGGCAACGAUGCGUAGCCGACCUGAGAGGGUGAUCGGCCACACUGGAACUGAGACACGGUCCAGACUCCUACGGGAGGCAGCAGUAGGGAAUCUUCCGCAAUGGGCGAAAGCCUGACGGAGCAACGCCGCGUGAGUGAUGAAGGUCUUCGGAUCGUAAAACUCUGUUAUUAGGGAAGAACAAAUGUGUAAGUAACUAUGCACGUCUUGACGGUACCUAAUCAGAAAGCCACGGCUAACUACGUG